rnacentral:rRNA from 1 species
CCAAUAGCGUAUAUUAAAGUUGUUGCAGUUAAAAAGCUCGUAGUUGAAUUUCGGGGUUAGUAGGUUGGUCGUGCCUAUGGUAUGCACUGGCUUUACUGAUUCCUCCUUCUUGAAGAACUGUAAUGCCAUUAAUUUGGUGUUGCAGGGAAACAGGACUGUUACUUUGAAAAAAUUAGAGUGUUUAAAGCAGGCUUACGCUUGAAUACAUUAGCAUGGAAUAAUGAAAUAGGACGUUGAUCCUAUUUUGUUGGUUUCUAGGAUUGACGUAAUGAUUAAUAGGGAUAGUUGGGGGCAUUAGUAUUCAAUUGUCAGAGGUGAAAUUCUUGGAUUUAUUGAAGACUAACUACUGCGAAAGCAUUUGCCAAGGAUGUUUUCAUUAAUCAAGAACGAAAGUUAGGGGAUCGAAGACGAUCAGAUACCGUCGUAGUCUUAACCAUAAACUAUGCCGACUAGGGAUCGGAUGAUGUUAAUUUUUUAAUGACUCAUUCGGCGCCUUACG